UACGUAGGGUGCAAGCGUUGUCCGGAAUCACUGGGCGUAAAGCACACGUAGGCGGAUCUUUAAGUCAGGGGUGAAAUCCUGGAGCUCAACUCCAGAACUGCCUUUGAUACUGGGGAUCUCGAGUCCGGAAGAGGUGAGUGGAACUCCGAGUGUAGAGGUGAAAUUCGUAGAUAUUCGGAAGAACACCAGUGGCGAAGGCGGCUCACUGGCCCGGUACUGACGCUGAGGCGCGAAAGCGUGGGGAGCGAACGGGAUUAAGAAA
rnacentral:rRNA from 1 species